rnacentral:rRNA from 1 species
GAUGAACGCUGACAGAAUGCUUAACACAUGCAAGUCGAUGGGGAAGUGGUGCUUGCACCAUGGCAACCAUGGCGGACGGGUGAGUAACGCGUAAGGGACUUACCUGCAGGACUGGGAUAACAGGGGGAAACUCCUGACAAGACCGGAUAAUGUCAUGGAGCUGCAUGGCUUUAUGAUGAAAGGAGACGCCUGCGGAGAGCCUUGCGUCCUAUUAGCUAGUUGGUGAGGUAAUGGCUCACCAAGGCGAAGAUAGGUAGCCGGCCUGAGAGGGUGGACGGCCACAAGGGGACUGAGAUACGGCCCUUACUCCUACGGGAGGCAGCAGUGGGGAAUAUUGGACAAUGGGGGCAACCCUGAUCCAGCAAUUCUGUGUGCACGAAGAGGGUUUUCGGAUUGUAAAGUGCUUUCAGCAGGGAAGAAGUAAGUGACGGUACCUGCAGAAGAAGCGACGGCUAAAUACGUG